UAAUAAAGCCAGAAGAAAAUUUCUCCUGAAGAUUCUCACAGAAGAUACUGCUUUGUAAAGAACAUGCAGUCUACACUAACUAUAGCUGAAUACAGAGGUUUUAAGGUUGUUUGCUAAUAUCCCUAAAUAUAGGCUGAUGAAAACCACCAGAGUAAAACUGGUAAAAAUAAUACUGACACAAACGGCAGCAGCAUGAUGUGAUCCUGGCAUGCAGUUCUCUGCUGAUCUGACUGACUAGGAUAUUUAUAGGAAUCACAAAUGCAGAUGACUACAGGGGCCAGGUGAGAAGAAACAUCAGAAGCACUUGAAGGACCAGAAGUUCUCCCAAUACCACCCUAAAAGCAACAACGUCACCAUUUGGAGUUCAAAGUGAGAAACAUGAACUACAUGCUUGAAGACACACAAAUAUGGAAGCAGCAAAGUGGAACCCAGGAACCUAGGUCCGUUGAAUGACACUGGACUGAUG
rnacentral:lncRNA from 1 species